CCUACGGGGGGCUGCAGCAAGGAAUUUUCCCCAAUGGGCGCAAGCCUGAGGGAGCAACGUCGCGUGCAGGACGACGGCCUUCGGGUUGUAAACUGCUUUUGGGGGGGAAGAUACUGACGGUACCCCCCGAAUAAGCCCCGGCUAACUCCGUGCCAGCAGCCGCGGUAAGACGGAGGGGGCAAGCGUUGUCCGGAAUCACUGGGCGUAAAGCGCGUGUAGGUGGUCCGGUGCGUCGGCGCUGAAAGCGCCAGGCUUAACCUGGCGAGGCGUGCCGA
rnacentral:rRNA from 1 species